rnacentral:rRNA from 1 species
UACAGAGGGGGCAAGCGUUGUUCGGAAUUACUGGGCGUAAAGGGCGCGUAGGCGGCCUGUUAAGUCGGACGUGAAAUCCCUCGGCUCAACCGGGGACUGCGUCCGAAACUGGCGGGCUUGAAUUCGGGAGAGGGAUGUGGAAUUCCAGGUGUAGCGGUGAAAUGCGUAGAUAUCUGGAGGAACACCGGUGGCGAAGGCGGCAUCCUGGACCGACAUUGACGCUGAGGCGCGAAAGCCAGGGGAGCAAACGGG